rnacentral:rRNA from 1 species
AUUGAACGCUGGCGGCAUGCUUUACACAUGCAAGUCGAACGGUAACAGGCCUUCGGUUGCUGUCUAGUGGCGAACGGGUGAGUAAUGCAUCGGAACGUACCCAGAGGCGGGGUGUAACGCAGCGAAAGCUGUGCUAAUACCGCAUGUGAUCUGAGGAUGAAAGCGGGGGACCGAGCAGCAAUGUUUGGCCUCGCGCCUUUGGAGCGGCCGAUGUCGGAUUAGCUAGUUGGUGGGGUAAAGGCCUACCAAGGCGACGAUCCGUAGCUGGUCUGAGAGGACGACCAGCCACACUGGAACUGAGACACGGCCCAGACUCCUACGGGAGGCAGCAGUGGGGAAUUUUGGACAAUGGGAGCAAGCCUGAUCCAGCAAUGCCGCGUGCGGGAAGAAGGCCUUCGGGUUGUAAACCGCUUUUGGCAGGAAGGAAACGGUGUCCGCUAAUACCGGGCGCUAAUGACGGUACCUGCAGAAUAAGCACCGGCUAACUACGUG